AACAAUGUAGUUUAAAAUAAAAUAGCCGCUUUGCAAGUAGCAGAUGGAUAUUAAUUUUGUUGUUA
rnacentral:tRNA from 1 species